rfam:Capsicum annuum cultivar Zunla-1 chromosome 7, whole genome shotgun sequence
CUUAUAGAGGGUUCGAUCCUGGCUCAGGAUGAACGCUGGCGAUAUGCUUCACACAUUCAAGUCAAAUAGGAAACAAGAGAAAUGAUGUUUCCAGUUGUUGAUGGGUGAGUAAGGCAAUCGAACCUACCUUUGGGAGGGGGAAAACAACUGGAAAUGGCUUCUUAUACCCCAUAGGCUUGGGAGAAAAAUAAGGAAUCCGCAGAAGAGGGGAUCACAUCUGAUUAGCUAGUUGGUGAGGCAAUUUCUUACCAAGGCAACCAUUAGUAGCUGGUCUGAGAGAAUGAUCAGUCACACAAGGACUAAGACAUAGCCCAGACUCCUAUAGGAGGUAGCAGUGGGGAAUAUUUUGCAAAAGCCUGACGGAGCAAUGCUGUGUGAAGGAGAAGGCCCACAGAUCAUGAACUUCUUUUCCUAGAGAAAAAGCAAUAACGAUACUUGGGGAAUAAGAAUCACUUAGAUGUGUGCCAGUAGCUAUGAUAAUAUAGAGGAUGCAAGCAUUAUUAGGAAUGAUUAGGCAUCAAGUGUCUGUAGGUGGAUUUUUAAGUCUGUCAUCAAAUCCCAGGGCUCAACCUUUGACAGGCAGUGGAAACUACCAAGAUGGAGUAUGGUAGGUAAGUAGGAAUUUUUGGUGGAGCGAUGAAAUGCAUAGAGAUUUGAAAAAACACUAAUGGUGAAAGUACUCUGCUGGGAUGACACUGACACAUAGAGAUAAAAUCUAGGGUAGCGAAUAUGAUUAGAUACACUAGUAGUCUUAGCCCUAAAUAAUAACAGGCAGUGGAAACUACCAAGAUGGAGUAUGGUAGGUGAAGUAGGAAUUUUUGGUGGAGCGAUGAAAUGCAUAGAGAUUUGAAAAAACACUAAUGGUGAAAGUACUCUGCUGGGAUGACACUGACACAUAGAGAUAAAAUCUAGGGUAGCGAAUGUGAUUAGAUACACCAGUAGUCUUAGCCCUAAAUAAUAAAUACUAGGAGCUGUGUGUAUCAACCAGCACAGUCUUGUAGCUAACUCAUUAAUCAUCCCGCUUGGGGAAUACGUUCGCAAUAAUGAAACUCAAAGGAAUUGACGGAGGCCUACACAAGCGGCGGAGCAUGUGGUUCAAUUUGAUGCAAAGCAAAGAACCUUAUGAAGGCUUCACAUGUUGCAAAUCCUCUUGAAAGAGAGGGGUACCUUCAAGAAUGCAGACACAGGAAGUGCAUAGCUAUCGUCAGCUUGUGUCGUAACGCAUUGUGUUAAUUCCCUCAAAGGACAAAACCCUCGUGUUUAGUUUCCAUUAUUAUAUUUAGAACCCUGAACAAGCUUUUGAUAACAAGACGGAGGAAGGUGAGGAUGACGUCAAGUCAUCAAGCCCCUUAUUCCCUGGGCAAUACACGUGCUACAAUGGGACAAAGGGUCACGAUCUUCUGAGGGUGAGCUUACCCCAAAAAACCAUUCUGUGUUUGGAUUACGGCUACAACUCGCCUUCAUAAAGCCAUAACCACUAGUAAUCGCCGGUUAGCCAUACAUAAUUACCUAACAUUACUUACAGUACCUAACAUUACUAACAGUACCUAACAUGACAGACUAGUAGUUGAUUCCAUGCAACUUAGGUCUGCCACAGAAAAUAACCUAACUUAGUAUGGAUCCCUUCCACU